CUUUCAACAACGGAUCUCUUGGUUCUGGCAUCGAUGAAGAACGCAGCGAAAUGCGAUAAGUAAUGUGAAUUGCAGAAUUCAGUGAAUCAUCGAAUCUUUGAACGCACAUUGCGCCCUUGGGAUAUUCCUAGGGGCAUGCCUGUUCGAGCGUCA
rnacentral:rRNA from 1 species